ACAGCAGCCGCCACGGGAAUACGUAGGGUGCAAGCGUUAAUCGGAAUUACUGGGCGUAAAGCGUGCGCAGGCGGUUAUAUAAGACAGAUGUGAAAUCCCCGGGCUCAACCUGGGAACUGCAUUUGUGACUGUAUAGCUAGAGUACGGCAGAGGGGGAUGGAAUUCCGCGUGUAGCAGUGAAAUGCGUAGAUAUGCGGAGGAACACCGAUGGCGAAGGCAAUCCCCUGGGCCUGUACUGACGCUCAUGCACGAAAGCGUGGGGAGCAAACAGGAUUAGAUACCCCGGUAGUCCCUGUCUCUUAUAC
rnacentral:rRNA from 1 species